rnacentral:rRNA from 1 species
CACUUCUAAGGAAGGCAGCAGGCGCGCAAAUUACCCAAUCCUGACUCAGGGAGGUAGUGACAAGAAAUAACAAUAAACCGGCUUAUGCCGGUUUAAUUGGAAUGAGUACAAUUUAAACAUCUUAACGAGGAACAAUUGGAGGGCAAGUCUGGUGCCAGCAGCCGCGGUAAUUCCAGCUCCAAUAGCGUAUACUAAAGUUGUUGCAGUUAAAAAGCUCGUAGUUGGAUUUCUGUGGGGACGGAGCGGCCGGCCGCAACACGCGGUUCGAGCUAGCGCUUUCCCUACAUCCUGCCGCGAACCGUGCUACCAUUAGUUUGGUGGCGCCGGGGAUCGGCUCGAUUACUUUGAGAAAAAUAGAGUGUUCAAAGCAGGCCACACGCCUUGAAUAAGUUAGCAUGGAAUAAUAACUAAGGACUUCGGUUCUAUUUUGUUGGUGUUCGGGACUGAAGUAAUGAUUGAUAGGGACAGUUGGGGCGGUCUGUAUUCCAAAGCGAGAGGUGAAAUUCUUAGACCUUCGGAAGACAAACAGCUGCGAAAGCGUUCCGCAAGGAUGUUCCCUUUGAUCAAGAACGAAAGUUGGGGGAUCGAAGACGAUCAGAUACCGUCGUAGUCUCAACUAUAAACUAUACCAGCUAGGGAUCGGCCAACGUUAUUCUAUACCGACUUGGUCGGCACCUUAUGAGAAAUCAAAGCAUCUGGGUUCCGGGGGGAGUAUGGUCGCAAGGCUGAAACUUAAAGGAAUUGACGGAAGGGCACCACCAGCCGUGGAGCCUGUGGCUUAAUUUGACUCAACACGGGAAAACUUACCAGGUCCAGACAUAGUAAGGAUUGACAGAUUGAUAGCUCUUUCUUGAUUCUGUGGGUGGUGGUGCAUGGCCGUUCUUAGUUGGUGGAGUGAUUUGUCUGGUUAAUUCCGUUAACGAACGAGACCCCAGCCUGCUAAAUAGCGCGUGUGAGCUUUGCUCGCAGCGAGCUUCUUAGAGGGACUAUGAUGCGCGAUAGCACAUGGAAGUUUGGGGCAAUAACAGGUCUGUGAUGCCCUUAGAUGUUCUGGGCCGCACACGGGCUACACUGGCGCCUGCAACGAGCAUAUCAGCUGGCCCGAGAGGGUCUUGGCUAAUCUUUUGAACCGGCGCCGUGCUUGGGAUUGACCUUUGCAAUUGUUGGUCAUGCAACGAGGAAUGCCUUGUAAACGCGAGUCAUCAGCUCGCAUUGAAUACGUCCCUGCCCUUUGUACACACCGCCCGUCGCUCCUACCGAUGAAUGUUCCGAUGAAAUUUUCGGAGAGUGCCUGUGAACUUGGCUCUGCCUUGCGAACGGGAAGCUCAAAGUCACUUAAAUCUGAACAUUUC